AGACCACCCAGUGCUCCCAGGGACUAGACCACCAGCCAAGGAGUGAAUAAGAAUGGAUCAAUGGCUCUAGAGACAGAGGUAGCAGAGAAUCGCCUUGUCUGACAUCAAUGAGAGGCUGACUCGGUGACAAUGCUUCUCUUGUUUUCUGCAUUUCUUCAUAUCACGCUAUGCGCUGGAGCAGCAAUGGGGUAGUACAAAACCAUUGAGCGUACAAGUAUCAGACACGCGGAGCAUGUAACCCAUGGAACAAGUGGGCCAAGAUGCAGUGACCUUUAUCAAGCCACAUGCAAGAAACAACUUCAUAUGGCGUUUUUCACCUGGAACAAUGCAC